rnacentral:rRNA from 1 species
UACGUAGGGUGCAAGCGUUAAUCGGAAUUACUGGGCGUAAAGCGUGCGCAGGCGGUUGUGCAAGACAGAUGUGAAAUCCCCGGGCUCAACCUGGGAAUUGCAUUUGUGACUGCACGGCUAGAGUGUGUCAGAGGGGGGUAGAAUUCCACGUGUAGCAGUGAAAUGCGUAGAGAUGUGGAGGAAUACCGAUGGCGAAGGCAGCCCCCUGGGAUAACACCGACGCUCAUGCACGAAAGCGUGGGGAGCAAACAGG